AGAGUUUGAUCCUGGCUCAGAUUGAACGCUGGCGGCAUGCCUUACACAUGCAAGUCGAACGGCAGCACGGGAGCAAUCCUGGUGGCGAGUGGCGAACGGGUGAGUAAUAUAUCGGAACGUGCCCAGUCGUGGGGGAUAACGCAGCGAAAGCUGUGCUAAUACCGCAUACGAUCGCUGGAUGAAAGCGGGGGACUCGCAAGGGCCUCGCGCGAUUGGAGCGGCCGAUAUCAGAUUAGCUAGUUGGUGGGGUAAAAGCCCACCAAGGCGACGAUCUGUAGCUGGUCUGAGAGGACGACCAGCCACACUGGAACUGAGACACGGUCCAGACUCCUACGGGAGGCAGCAGUGGGGAAUUUUGGACAAUGGGCGCAAGCCUGAUCCAGCAAUGCCGCGUGCAGGAUGAAGGCCUUCGGGUUGU
rnacentral:rRNA from 1 species